CACCAGAUGGUGCGCUGGUGAAAAACUAAAUGGAGUCUUAAAAAAGAGCUAAUGAAAGGGGAAUCAACUUGACAAGAUUUGGUGGUUACUGGAAUCGCAGACUUGCAGAAUUUUUGGAGG